rnacentral:rRNA from 1 species
CUACGGGGGGCAGCAGUGGGGAAUAUUGCACAAUGGGCGCAAGCCUGAUGCAGCCAUGCCGCGUGUGUGCAGAAGGCCUUCGGGUUGUAAAGCACUUUCAGCGGGGAGGAAGGCGGUGAGGUUAAUAACCUCAUCGAUUGACGUUACCCGCAGAAGAAGCACCGGCUAACUCCGUGCCAGCAGCCGCGGUAAUACGGAGGGUGCAAGCGUUAAUCGGAAUUACUGGGCGUAAAGCGCACGCAGGCGGUCUGUCAAGUCGGAUGUGAAAUCCCCGGGCUCAACCUGGGAACUGCAUUCGAAACUGGCAGGCUAGAGUCUUGUAGAGGGGGGUAGAAUUCCAGGUGUAGCGGUGAAAUGCGUAGAGAUCUGGAGGAAUACCGGUGGCGAAGGCGGCCCCCUGGACAAAGACUGACGCUCAGGUGCGAAAGCGUGGGGAGCAAACAGGAUUAGAUACCCGUGUAGUC